GUGCUCACUUAGGCAGCAUGUAUACUAAAAUUGAAAUGAUGCAGAGAAGAUUAGCAUCUUCUAGCCCCCUUGCAAGGAUGACAUGCAAAUUCUUGAAGCAUCCCAUUUUUUU